rnacentral:rRNA from 1 species
GAUGAACGCUGGCGGCGUGCUUAACACAUGCAAGUCGAACGGGAAACCUUUUAUUGAAGCUUCGGCAGAUUUAGCUGGUUUCUAGUGGCGGACGGGUGAGUAACGCGUGGGUAACCUGCCCUAUACAGGGGGAUAACAACCAGAAAUGAUUGCUAAUACCGCAUAAGCGCACAGGACCGCAUGGUCCGGUGUGAAAAACUCCGGUGGUAUAGGAUGGACCCGCGUUGGAUUAGCUUGUUGGUGGGGUAACGGCUCACCAAGGCGACGAUCCAUAGCCGGCCUGAGAGGGUGAACGGCCACAUUGGGACUGAGACACGGCCCAGACUCCUACGGGAGGCAGCAGUGGGGAAUAUUGCACAAUGGGGGAAACCCUGAUGCAGCGACGCCGCGUGAAGGAAGAAGUAUCUCGGUAUGUAAACUUCUAUCAGCAGGGAAGAUAGUGACG